rnacentral:rRNA from 1 species
CGGGUUGCAGCAGUAGGGAAUAUUGGGCAAUGGAGGCAACUCUGACCCAGCCAUGCCGCGUGCAGGAUGAAGGCGUUAUGCGUUGUAAACUGCUUUUAUAUAGGAAGAAAGAGUUCUUGCGAGAACAGUUGACGGUACUAUAUGAAUAAGCACCGGCUAACUCCGUGCCAGCAGCCGCGGUAAUACGGAGGGUGCAAGCGUUGUCCGGAUUUAUUGGGUUUAAAGGGUGCGUAGGCGGUUUAUUAAGUCAGUGGUGAAAGACGGUCGCUCAACGAUUGCAGUGCCAUUGAUACUGGUAGACUUGAGUGAGAUUGAGGUAGCUGGAAUGGAUAGUGUAGCGGUGAAAUGCAUAGAUAUUAUCCAGAACACCAAUUGCGUAGGCAAGUUACUAAGUCUCAACUGACGCUGAGGCACGAAAGUGUGGGUAUCAAACAGGAUUAGAUACCCCCGU